rnacentral:rRNA from 1 species
GAUGAACGCUGGCGGCGUGCCUAAUACAUGCAAGUCGAGCGAAUGGAUUAAGAGCUUGCUCUUAUGAAGUUAGCGGCGGACGGGUGAGUAACACGUGGGUAACCUGCCCAUAGGACUGGGAUAACUCCGGGAAACCGGGGCUAAUACCGGAUAACAUUUUGAACCGCAUGGUUCGAAAUGGAAAGGCGGCUUCGGCUGUCACUUAUGGAGGGACCCGCGUCGCAUUAGCUAGUUGGUGAGGUAACGGCUCACCAAGGCAACGAUGCGUAGCCGACCUGAGAGGGUGAUCGGCCACACUGGGACUGAGACACGGCCCAGACUCCUACGGGAGGCAGCAGUAGGGAAUCUUCCGCAAUGGACGAAAGUCUGACGGAGCAACGCCGCGUGAGUGAUGAAGGCUUUCGGGUCGUAAAACUCUGUUGUUAGGGAAGAACAAGUGCUAGUUGAAUAAGCUGGCACCUUGACGGUACCUAACCAGAAAGCCACGGCUAACUACGUGCCAGCCGCCGCCGUAA